GUAACACUGUAACCUCACACUUCUCCAAAAUUCGUUCUCCCUUUCUUUCGAAACCCUUUUUUUUCUUCCAACAAAUCGGCGAUGGUAAUGACGUCAGUGGUGCCGGUGAACCCCACCAAGGAGAUGGACUUCGAGACUUAUAAAGGGCAUGAAGGCCAUCACAAGGUUCGAGGAGGUGGGGAUCAAGGACGAUCUACUCUGUGGAAUAUACCAAUAUAGCCUUCACGUUUGGGUGUGAAACGGAGCGCAGUAGCAAGCAGCAGGCGGAGGAAUCAGAACCGCGUUUGGGAGAAGAAGAGCAAAAUCGUUAUGAAAAUGAGCGAAACGGUGAAGAAAGUUAACAAUGUAGCAUUCAAGGUAGGAAGGAACCUCGAUUGGGAUGGAAUGGCAAAGCUUCUGGUCUUGGAUGAGGCUCGCAAGGAGUUCUCCAAUCUCUGUCGUGCUUUUGACGAGGGUUUCAUGCUUUAACAUUGUCACUAACAAGGGAAUUGGCCUCACAAACUGAGAAGGUUAUAUUGGCUAUUGGGCAUUCAUCAAUAUACAAGCUCAUGCAUGCAUUGGAGGUAAAAGCAUGGGAGAAAACAUAAGGAAACUUGAGUAUGGAGUUGUUAAUGUUGUUGAACCUGGGAACAAGUACCUAACACACUGCUCAAUGAGGGGCUUGGUAAGAUGAAUGCACCACCUAAGAGUGAUGUACCAGGCAAGCCUGCUAGCCUCUUCUACAAUAUCGGUUCACAAGGUGGUGGACAAGAGACUACAGCAUAAGCACCCUCUAUCGUAGUUCUUGGUUUCUUAUUCCAUUACCAAGAUACAUCAAAUAUUAACAUGUGGAAUCCUUGAUAGGCUCAACAAAUAUAUGAUGGUAACAACAAUGAGGAUGAUAAAGAAACUCAAGCAAGCUGCAUAAUGUUUCCUUGCCUUCAUAUUAGAUCAUACUAUUACUAUUAAAUCAUACCACAAUAUUGCUUGAAAAUCAUUGCCCAUUUUUUAGUCUUGAAAUAUAUUAAGUCUUUUUUUUUCUAUGCUUGCAAGUAAUUUUUUUUCUUUCUAAUCGUGGAAAAGCAAAUGCUUUCUAAUUUUUUUUCUUUCUCAAGAUGAUAAUGUAGAAAUGUAUCAGUGCAAGGAAACUACAAAAGAAAAUCCUCAACAAAUAUAUGAUGGUAAAAACAAUGAGGAUCACCCUUCCUUCCAUGAAAGUAAAUUUGAAACUAACCAACAAACACAAACCCUGGCUGAUGAAGCACCUGCUGGUAGUCUCGCACUUCAUUCCUUUCCUCUCUUCUCCUUGCGUCUGUUCCUCUCCUCGAGUAUUUUUCGUUUUCAACUUUUCAUUCCCUUGCAUUCGUUCCUCUCUUCUCCUUGCAUCCAUUCCACUCCCCUGCGUCCCCUUUUCGAAUCUGAUCCACCACUCCACAGAGAAAGAGUGACAUUGGAUCACGCUCUGCAAGUGUUGAGAAAAAGAGCAAAAGAGAGGGAAUCAUAUGAUGUGGUGCGCAGGGACUUGUUGUCCUACUCGAGAAGCGGUGAGAUGGUUUCGGUUCGGUCGGAGGCCAUGGACAUCAUCCCAAGUUCUCGUCAACAAAGCCACUCCUCUAGUACACUCACUCUCAUUAGAUCACAACUUUAUCAUCUUUGUAACCACUCUGGUCAUCUUCGCUUUGAUCUCGUUCCCUCACAGGACGAACCUUGUGUGGAACUUUUUGGCUUUCGUUGAACUAAUUGCAAGAAAGUGAAGCGCAACAAUGAAGACCUUCCUCACUGCUUGACCAAGGAUCUUCACACCAGGCAAGUCUAUUCGCCUUUGUAAUCCACUAACUCUGGUUUGAUCGAAAGUGCAUUUCCCAAGGUAAGCGUCGAAGCAACCGAGAGUCCCGAUUUGGGGAUUUUUUUUAGGCUCGACUUUUCAACAAGGGAAACACUGAUUCCUUAGAGGAGAAUGAUGGAUAUUGUUCGAAGAAAGUUGAUGGUUUGGACAGAGCAACAACUUUACCUGAUGGUGAGAUUUGUGGUGGUUCAAAUUCCAAGGUUAACAAAGAUGUAGGGAAACUGGACACAGAGGUUCUUGUCAAAGAUACACCUUCCACUGGGAAUGGUUCUUCUUCUCUCAAGAGCAAAUCUAUAAGGGUUUGACAUGUUUUAAUUUAUUUUCUUUAUGUUUAUUUAUGCAUUAUUUGGGUGAAUUUCAUACAUAUGUACCUGGAGAUUAAAGCCCUAAUCACACCCUUAAUAGGUUUCUUUAUGAUUAUGGAUUAGGCCUUCUAUCCUUUGUUGUUAGCCCUACCUUAAUGGUGGUGAAUUGUGUAAUUAGGUUAAAUGAGUUAUUGUGGGUGUUCUAGGUUAAAAUUCCCGAGAAUAGUACUUUUUUUAAAAUAUUAUUAUUGCUUUCAGAGCAUGGUUUUAUUAUUAUAGAGCUGAUUGGGAUCUUUAUGCAGGUUCUUAGACUAUUGGAUUUUUUUUAAAAUUUAUUUUUUGGAGCUUUCAUACUGCCUUUGAGUUGCACUCUGUAAUCUAGAUGUUAAUUAAUGAUUCUUCUUAUGGUCCAUGAUAUGGAUUUGUUUCUUAAUUCUUUAUCCAUUUGUGUUUUACAGGCCAGAAUAGUACCACUCUUCCUCAUACAUCUGCGGUCCACAAAUUGUGGGUUUCAUGUUUUUGGGUAUUUGUAUUUCAUUACAUAUUUUAUAAUGGUUGAAGACAGUUCAAUAACACAUAGAUUUGGUGCUUAAAGUUUAGCUAUUACUACUACUUGUAGUGGUUUGAUGUUGAGGGCAGUAUGCUGGUUAUAAGUGGAGGAAAUGCAAAGGUAUCAUGCUGGCAGCUGCACUAGUGCAGUUAAUAAUAGUGCAAUUGUUGGGCCAUCCACUAGGGACAUUGGAAGAACUGAUUCAUCUUUUUUGCCAACUAACUUUCCUGUGAGUUCUAGGACAACCACAAUUAAUCCAUACAAGUUAAAGUGUGAUAAAGAACCUCUGAACUCUAGGUAGUUCAUGCUUGGAGUAGAACCUGUUUUCAGUUUGUUGCUUAAUAAAACUUAUGAUUAAGUUAUUUUUAUCUAUUUCUAGUUUAAAAUUAUUACAUUGAACACCAUAUAUCUUAUGUUGGAAUGGAGAUUCUCUUGUGUUUGGAUU